GAUGAAGAACGUAGCGAAAUGCGAUAAGUAAUGUGAAUUGCAGAAUUCAGUGAAUCAUCGAAUCUUUGAACGCACAUUGCGCCCGCCAGUAUUCUGGCGGGCAUGCCUGUCCGAGCGUCAUUUCAACCCUCGCGCCCAUCUGGGCUGCGGUGUUGGGGACCGGCCUGCCCCCCCGGGGCGCGCCGCCCCCCAAAUUCAGUGGCGGUCUCGCUGCAGCCUCCCUUGCGUAGUAGCACACCUCGCACCGGAGCGCAGCGCGGCCACGCCGUAAAACCCCCGACCCCCAUGAGUUUGACCUCGGAUCAGGUAGGAGUACCCGCUGAACUUAAGCAUAUCAAUAAGCGGAGGA
rnacentral:misc_RNA from 1 species